GCCGAGCUGGGUAACGUCAGCUUGUGACCUGAGUGGGGGCUUUAAGGUGAUUGAACAAGGCUAUGGCUUGCUAAGCUGGUCUGGAAGCUGCAUCUUGCUGGCUUGCCCACUCCAAGUCAGGAGUUGAGCCAAGGGACCUUUGCGAAGGCAUAGGUUUCCUGGUUUCUAGACAGGAGGGCACAGCGUGAGGCUGGUUUCACAGAGCAGCGAUAACCUUCGGCUCUUGACAGUGGAGGGAUAACAGGCUGCUGCACUUCCAGCCCUAAUCGGGCUUGGUGAACCUUGCUCUUGAACAAUCAUUUUU
rfam:Vigna angularis cultivar Jingnong 6 chromosome 8, whole genome shotgun sequence.